rnacentral:rRNA from 1 species
AGGGCACCCCCAGAUAUGGAGCCUGGGGCUUAAUUUGACUCAACACGGGGAAACUUACCCGGGCCGGACACUGGGAGGAUUGACAGAUUGAGAGCUCUUUCUUGAUUCAGUGGGUGGGGGUGCAUGGCCGUUCUUAAUUGGUGGAACGAUUUGUCUGGUUAAUUCCGAAAACGAACGAAACUCUAGCCUAAUAAAUAGGCUGCCGGACUUUUCUUGCCGCUAAACCUUCUUAGUCCUCCGGGGGUGGGUUCAUGCGGGCGAAAUAGAGCAGGUUCCUAACUGGGAUGGCCUUUGAUGUCCCGGGCCGAACGCGAGCAACACUGGGCAGAUCAGCCCGUUUGAUGUCCCGGCUCCCGCCGGAGUGACCAAGACAGAUAAACCUCGUCUUGAUUGUUACUGAAUAUUGCAGUUUUGCUUCACCAGUGAAGCACUCUCCGUGAUUGGGAGACAUCAUGUCACUUUUACCCCUUGACUGAGCAUUGCCCACACCGCCCAUCGCUACUACUGACUGAAAUAAUU